rnacentral:rRNA from 1 species
UUUUAUUUGAGAGUUUGAUCCUGGCUCAGGAUGAACGCUGGCGGCGUGC